CCCUGUGCUAUGCGGCUGCUUCACACUAGCUAUCAAUUUUACGUUUGGAUAUUUACCAGAAAUGAAAAUCUCUACAAGUCUCAGAUUGAAGAUUAACAAUAAGCCAUAAGCAGGAUAAAUAAAACAUUUCCUCCUAGUCAUAAUUGUAACUGAAACUUCUGAAUAUCAAAGAAAAAGAGAAAAUAUUGAAAUUAAUCAGAGUCAAAAGACAGCUAUUUACAAGAUAACACCAAUGAUACUUCUUAUCUGCAACUAUAAAUGGCAGGAGACAAAGGAAUGUACUGAAUAUGAAGGGAGACAUAAUUCCUUGUGCCACCUUCCUCCACCGAGGGUGGAGGAACAAAUACAUUUUAUAAAAAUCAGCAAAAAGGGAAAUUGUCAAAGCACAACAGAACUGUCAGCAAACUUCAAAGAAUCCAAGAUAUUUAUUAUACUCCACAGGUCAUAAUACUUUUCUGAUUCCUUUCUUUUUCUACCAAUCUUCUAAUUAAAAUAAAAUCUACUGGCAAUUUGUAAAGUGUAAA